GACGAACGCUGGCGGCGUGCUUAACACAUGCAAGUCGAACGAUGAAGCCGUAGCUUGCUCUGGUGAAUUAGUGGCGAACGGGUGAGUAACACGUGAGUAACCUGCCCUUGACUCUGGGAUAACUGCGGGAAACUGUAGCUAAUACCGGAUACGAGCCUCGGAGGCAUCUCCUGGGGGUGGAAAGAAUUUCGGUCAAGGAUUGACUCGCGGCCUAUCAGCUAGUGGGUGAGGUAAAGGCUCACCAAGGCGACGACGGGUAGCCGGCCUGAGAGGGUGACCGGCCACACUGGGCCUGAGACACGGCCCAGACUCCUACGGGAGGCAGCAGUGGGGAAUAUUGCACAAUGGGCGCAAGCCUGAUGCAGCAACGCCGCGUGAGGGAUGACGGCCUUCGGGUUGUAAACCUCUUUUAGCAGGGAAGAAGCGAAAGUGACGGUACCUGCAGAAAAAGCACCGGCUAACUACGUGCCAGCAGCCGCCGUAA
rnacentral:rRNA from 1 species